rnacentral:misc_RNA from 1 species
AAUGUCGUAACAAGGUUUCCGUAGGUGAACCUGCGGAAGGAUCCUUAAAUGAGAGGGACGUUCGCGUUCCGGGGGUCUUCGGCCCCAUCCUCUUCACCCCGGUGUUUCACCUUAGCCACAUUCCGUUGCUUUGGCAGGCCUUGGGGGCUCGUGCUCAUGCCGCCCGGGGGGGAUGUCCCCGGGGGGGUCGAGCGCUGCCGAAAGCCCAAGUUGACUUCUUGAAUCAACCAUGUUGUCUGAGUGAAAAGCAAAAUUCAAGCAAAAAG